AAGACCUUGCGCUUUUGGAGCGGCCGAUGCCUGAUUAGCUAGUUGGUGGGGUAAUGGCCUACCAAAGCUUCGAUCAGUAGCUGGUCUGAGAGGACGGCCAGCCACACUGGGACUGAGACACGGCCCAGACUCCUACGGGAGGCAGCAGUGGGGAAUUUUGGACAAUGGGCGCAAGCCUGAUCCAGCCAUGCCGCGUGAGUGAAGAAGGCCUUCGGGUUGUAAAGCUCUUUCAGCCGGGAAGAAAAGGUUGCGAUUAAUAAUCGCAAUUUAUGACGGUACCGGAAGAAGAAGCACCGGCUAACUACGUGCCAGCAGCCGCGGUAAUACGUAGGGUGCGAGCGUUAAUCGGAAUUACUGGGCGUAAAGGGUGCGCAGGCGGUUUUGUAAGUCAGAUGUGAAAUCCCCGGGCUUAACCUGGGAGCU
rnacentral:rRNA from 1 species